rnacentral:misc_RNA from 1 species
AGGGUCUCAUGUGCUAUCAUUGUUUCCAGGAUUGCAAGAGAAAGGUGCGCUAUAUUUGCAAGCUGUUGCAACUGCAAAUGGUUAUUCAAAGGAUCAUGUAGAAGUUCAGAAGAUGAGUGAACUGUUGACCUCUCAAAGUAGUCAGGAGAAGAUUGACUUGUUAGUUGGGGAACCUUUUUAUUAUGGUAACAACAGUGUGCUUCCAUGGCAAAAUCUACGGUUCUGGAAGGACCGAAGUUUAUUGGAUUCAAUCCUAUCAGAAGGUGCAGUGAUUAUGCCUUGCAAAGGAUUGUUAAAGGCUUGUGCGAUGU